UACGUAGGGGGCAAGCGUUGUCCGGAUUUAUUGGGCGUAAAGAGCGUGUAGGCGGCCAAGCAGGUCCGCUGUGAAAACUCGAGGCUCAACCUCGAGACGUCGGUGGAAACCGUUUGGCUAGAGUCCGGAAGAGGAGAGUGGAAUUCCCGGUGUAGCGGUGAAAUGCGCAGAUAUCGGGAAGAACACCCGUGGCGAAGGCGGAUCUCUGGGCCAUAACUGACGCUGAGGAGCGAAAGCAUGGGGAGCGAACAGG
rnacentral:rRNA from 1 species